GUUUGGCCUUGGUUCCAGAAGUCAGUAACAAUGAAGAAAUUUAACAUUUGUCUCUUUCUUUUUAUUUGUUUUUAGACGUUUAUUUUUCUAUUAUUGUCCUGCUGGGUAAAUAGAUAUUUUUAUGAAAAAAAAAAAGGAAAUGAAAACAAUACCCAACAUUCCCUGCUACUACUUGAUCUCCUCCUCCUCUUCCUCUUCCCCCCUCCUUCUCCUUCUGUGCUGCUGUUGCUGAGCAUGGAACUCAGCUUAUCACUUGUGACAAGCACUUGAUAUAGCCCCAGCCUCUCCUGAUGAGAUUCUGGAAUUCUGAGAUUCUAAGUAUGUACCACCACCCUGCUUUACACACAGUGUUGGUGAUCAAACCCAGUUCCUCAUUCAUGCUAAUCAAUCACGGUACCAUCUGAGCCACAUGCCCAACCUCUCCAUAAUGGUUUUGAGAGCCAUUCAUAAUGCUUUUUGAAAUAGCAACUGUUUGUUUCUUUGUGUGACUAAAUAGUGUUCCUUUGCAUAGUUGUACCAAGUCUUGUUGAUACACUCAGCUCUUGACAGAAUAUUUGGGGAAACUCUAAACAAUGCCCCAAGUGAAAUGUCUCGUGUGUCUGUUUCCAUCUGUUGAAUACUUUACAUUUGCAAAAUUGUAUUCUAAUUUAUGAAAAAAAUUCAAAGAGAUUGUCUAGGGCUGACAAAAUGGCUCAUUAGUUAAAGACUUGCAAUCCAAAUUCAAUUCCAGGAGCCUAGACUAAAAAAUUCAGCUUCGGUGACAUGCAUGUGAAAUCCCAGCAUCCCUAAGGUGAGAUGCAAACCCAAGACAGAGACAUCACCACAAAUCUUGUGGGUCAACUAACCUGGAGUAUGCUAUGAAACAGGGUACUGAUUCCCCACAUGCAAGAUGUGUCAUGUGCAAGCCUGAAUGCUCUCUCUCUCUCUCUCUCUCACACACACACACACACACAAAUGAAAAGAAAUUAAGAAGAAAUGAUAUAGCUUGCAUCCCAAUGAUUCAAUUGCACCCAGGUGUGGUUGUGCAUGCCUGUUAUCCCAGCAGUCAAGAGGAAGACGAAAAAUUAUUACAACAAACUCUAGGCCAGCCUGAUCUAUAUAGGAAAUUCUAGUUGAGACUGGGCUGCAGGGUAAGAUCUUGUCUUAAAAAAGGGAAAAAAUCAACAACAAAAAUCAGUCCUUCCUUAAGAGAGGAGCAUGGUAAUAACUUCAUAUAUUACAUACAUGCAUAUACGCUGAAUGUAUUCUGGAGGUAGAGGCAGGAGCAUCAGAAGUUCAAGGACAUUCUCAGUGAGUUCAGCCUACCAGGUAAGACUAUCUCAACAAAAUAAAUGAAUAAGCACCCAGAUUAUUCUGGUACAAGUGACCAAGUGGGUAAGACUCAGAAAAUGAGCAUCCAAGGACCAGGGACAAAUAAGGUACAUCUGUGAAUGAUCAGGGUGCAACACUUAUGUCCAAGUCUACACAAAAUGGUAAGGUGUCAGAGCAGAGUGAUGCGGCCACACAACCAG
rnacentral:lncRNA from 1 species